rnacentral:tRNA from 1 species
UAGAUGGAUGCCCGCUGGUUUAGGCGCCUAGCUGUUAACUAGGACUUUGAGGGAUCGAGGCCCUCCUAUCUAU